rnacentral:lncRNA from 1 species
UCCACUUCAUAAAUUCUGUUUGUGUGUUCAAUCCAAUUGUUUGUAUAAUUAGAAGAGAAAAAUGGGUGUUUUCACAAAAGAAGCAGAGGUGAGUACCCCACUCCCACCAGCCAAGGCUUUCAAGGCCUUUGCUGUAGAUAUCGAAAACCUAAUGCCCAAAGUUGCCCCACAAACAGUCAAGAGCGUCGAGGUCCUUGAAGGAAAUGGUGGCCCUGGUACUAUCAGGAAGAUCACCUUUGCUGAAGGUAAUUUUUUCAUUUUCUGUUCUUAAAAGGUGAACUACAAAAUUUAGAUGCAAUUACAUUAGUUAGGUGCCCAUGAUUCAAAAUCUUGAUUUGGUUGAUAACAAAUGCAGGGCAUGGAUUAAGUCAUGCGAAACACAAGGUUGAUGUAUUAGACAAAGACAACUUGGUGUACGCUUACACUGUGAUGGAAAGCGAUUUUUUUAACAACAAGAUCGAGAAAAUCAGUUACGACAUCAAGUUUGUUGCAGCAGCUGAUGGAGGGUCAACUGUUAAGGUAGCUGCCACGUUUUACACAUCCGGUGACACUGAGGUCACUCCCGACUUAAUGGCCCAGAUCAAGGAAGCUUCCGAGAAGCGAGCCCUUGUUAUGAAGGCUAUUGAAAGUUACGUCUUGGCAAAUCCCGAUGCCUAAAACUGUGCUUUCAUGGCGUUAAUGGUGUGUGGUUUGGAUAUUUCAUAUGUUGUGUUACUCAAAAGCAGUGUUUGAUUGGGUAAUAAGUGAUUUGUC